rnacentral:rRNA from 1 species
UACGUAGGAGACAAGCGUUGUCCGGAAUUACUGGGUGUAAAGCGCGUGUAGGCGGUAGGCCAAGUCUGCUGUGAAAUCGCCCGGCUCAACUGGGCGCGGUCGGUGGAAACUGGUCAACUGGAGGACGGUAGAGGCGAGUGGAAUUCCCGGUGUAGUGGUGAAAUGCGUAGAGAUCGGGGGGAAUACCAGUGGCGAAAGCGGCACCCUAGCGUUAGCCUGACGCUCAUGUGCGAAAGCGUGGGGAGCGAACGGG